UGUCAUUAGCUUAUAAUGGUUCCAUUAUCAAAAGCUUAGCCAAGGCUGCUGCUUUUGUUUUUAAAUAUUUAGUUUGAGGUUUUUUUGUUUUUCCAAAUCAUUUCUUUUCCCGUUAUGAGAUGAGAACAGUAGAAAAUAUGGGUAACUAUACAGUUUAUGUAAGAAUUCAACAACUGGGAGAGAAUUUUCUACAAUCGCUAGUGCACUCACUCGGGAAACUCAUCUGCCCCAGCAAAGGCGAGCAGGCAAGCGCGCGCGGGGGCAAACCGCAGGGAGGGGCACCCCACUUUCCCUCCUCCUGCUUCACUGAGAUCACUACUGGGGGCCCUGGAGGCGACGGACCCCAGGACACUCCGGGAGCCGGCUGGGUCUCGAGGGGUCGCUCUGCCCGGAGGCUCUCCAGGCCCCUGCGCACGGCAGCCCUGGCCUCUCUCACCCCCGCGCGCAAGCCCGGCGAGCUCCGAGUGGUGAGGCCCUCCCCACCGAGGUGAUUUCCACCCAACCGCGAGCAGAGUCCCCGAGGACGGCGAGGUGCCUCCCGCCGCCGUUGGGGGCGCACCGCACAGAGCUGGGGCGAAAGCUAGAGGGGAAAGGCGGUGGUGCUGAGUGAGAACCAGCCGAGUCUUUUCCAAACAUCCAUUUAAUCUUGCAUUCAUCCUGGGUAUAAAGUCUUAACGUGAGGUUACUUCAUCCUGGCCGAGGUACAGCAGCGCCAGAUCGUGGGGAUUCUGUUGACUGAGAAGGCCCACAGCUUGAGCCAAAAGAAUGAUUGCUCAGCAGUCACUGUGAAAUUUCGUGGGCAACAAGUUAAGUGCACACAUGAUCCUUGAUUUAGAGUCAACCUGAUCUCCAUUACAGCUGUGAAAAUCUUGCUUUCAGCAAGUAGUUUAGGGCGAACUAUCAAGAGUGGUGCAAAACUGCAGGUCACUGGGCUGGCCACCAGGUACUCCCAUCCAACAGAGGCUGGCUGCUGUACUCACCCGGAACCAUGGUGCACCACCACAGCGGCGAGGUCGUACAGGCAGCUCUCUGGGCCACUGUUCUCAGGCUACAGAACAAGGAAGAAGGCAUCCAAUGACAUCAGCAUCCCCAUCUCGAUGACUUCUACCCUUCUCCAUGUUUGACAGUCUUACUGAAGAGCUGUCUUUCCACCAUGCGAAAAUGGUAUCGCCUUACCUCCAGUAAGUAGCAUUUCAUGUCUAGGCCUCUCAGUGGAAACUCUACAUAUGUAUCAACUUUAUUUCUUAAAUAUGCUGUCCAAUGAAAUCUUUUCAAAUGUAAGCAUAGCACCUGGAGGACAGAGAUGAGGUCAAAGAUUGUGAAUACCUAAUUGACCUUUCAGUCAAAACUUUGAUAUUACUAUCAGCUCAGUACUACAGUCUCUUAAAUAAUAUUUUAGCUACUCUACCAAUUAUUCUUCCAAUGCAUACCUUAUGCAUUCAUUCUGUAAAGGGUUUAACUUUUACUGAAAACCCUUGAGACAAAUACAGAACAGUUCAUAUUGUAGAAAGUUACAGACAAAUUGCUUCAUAACUUAAAAUUCAACACUCACCUUGGGUAGUUUUUGAAUCCAAAACUUUUUUGUGGACUUUUGUUUCUUUUUGCAUUUAUGGCACAUAUAUAACUCUGUCUCAUCCAGUUCUUCUAAGUCAGUAAAACUGCGAAGACAAUCUAAACAAAUUGAUUUUGGCAGCAUUAAAACAAGAUGCCUUUUAUACACAGGCAAUGUACUGUAGAAAAAAGACUGAACUUGUUUAAAAUCUCAGCUUUAUUAGCUGUACAACCUUAGAAAAGUUAACCUUUCUCAGUUGCAAACUGAAGACAAAAAAUACCUACUUGAACUAUUGUAAUGAAGAGAAAUAACGUGUAAAGCACCUGGCAUCAUGCCUGACAUCUGGUGAUGAUCAAUUAUGUUGGUUUUACUGUUAAUGAAAAUUCAUCUGGAUAAUUCUGAGAAAAUGAUUUCCUGAUGAAUUCAAAGUUUCAAUUGCAGUUAUCUGUCAAUGUGUUACAGUAUAGAGGACAAAGCUCCAAGCUCAU